CCUACGGGAGGCUGCAGUGGGGAAUAUUGGGCAAUGGGCGCAAGCCUGACCCAGCAACGCCGCGUGAAGGAAGAAGGCCCUCGGGUUGUAAACUUCUUUUAUUCGGGACGAAACAAAUGACGGUACCGAAUGAAUAAGUCACGGCUAACUACGUGCCAGCAGCCGCGGUAAUACGUAGGCGGCAAGCGUUAUCCGGAUUUACUGGGUGUAAAGGGUGUGUAGGCGGGAGGGCAAGUCAGACGUGAAAUUCCAGGGCUCAACCCUGAAACUGCGAUUGAAACUGUUCGUCUUGAGUAAUGGUGAGGCAGGCGGAAUUCGGGGUGUAGCGGUGAAAUGCGUAGAUAUACGGAAGAACACCGGUGGCGAAGGCAGCCUACUAGACAUUAACUGACGCUGAGGCGCGAAAGCGUGGGGAGCAAACAGGAUUAGAUACCCGGGUAGUC
rnacentral:rRNA from 1 species